rnacentral:rRNA from 1 species
GCGCACCUUUCCCCUCGCCCAAACCCUAAAAAAGAAAAAAAAAACUUUCCUUCGAUCCAAAGGAAAUCUCCAAACCCUAGCACGUCCUCCGCCGGCCCCCCCGCACCCCAUGGCGCAGCUUGUCCGACCUCGCGACCGCGACCGCUACAACCAACCAAAGCACCCCUCUCCCCUCUCCUCCCCUCCUCCGACGCUCGGAGGCGACCAGCAACCCACGUCCCUAUUUCGUCGUCCCGACCUAAUUCUUCUUCCCGACGGUCGACGAAUCUCUAUCUACGAAGAUAGGCAUGGAGUUCUCGUCACCGAUGCCCUCCGCUGGUCGACACGACCCGUCGAAGAUGUCUACAUGGAAGUCCUCUACGAUCUCCAGACGAGUCCGCGCGAUCUUCCACCCCCCAUCGCGGAGCCCGUCCCACGCCGCCACCGCGGCCGAGAUGCCCACCGCGGCCGACUUGUUGGUUUGGGAAAGUUUCAUGAAGGCUCUUGUUGUCUUGGGAUUGUCAACGGGAUGAGCAUAGUAGUGGGCAAGGUGCUCUUCAUCAAAAUCUGGCAAUUGGGAGACUACAUCCCAAAGGUCAUCGGCUAUAGCUU